GGCGACGUCUCAUUGCAAGUUUGGUAACGUUGCUGCGGCGCCACGCCAUCGUCUCAGUUACACGAAAAGAAAUACGUUUCUAUCUCCAAAGAAGUAGAACGGAUCAACGAUUAUCUACUGAGUGAUGAUUCACUCCUCUUUGUGUCCCAAACCAUAAGAGAUAAAAUUAAUAGUUGUAAUGGUUACAUGAUAUUUUUUGAGAACAUGUUACAUGAUAUAUAUGGGUACGAACAAUGUAUUAGUGUGUCGAUCUAGUGUUGUACUAGGGUUUUACUCGGAGG
rnacentral:lncRNA from 1 species